GGCAGUGUGGUGUAGUGGUUUAAGCAUUAGAUCAUGGCUCUGGAGAUCAGGGUUCAGUUCUCUGCUCAGCCA